CUCGGGGACCACUGGAAUCCAAGUAGUAAAGCAGUUACACAAGGGCUGUCUGAAGUAGGACUAUCACCUCUUUUCACGGUGACGUGAUGUCUCUGCAUACACCGUCCAAAGUUACACAGCGGAUAAAGUUCAUGAGAGUUUUUCAGUUCUCAUUACUAUGGCUACGUUUUAGUCACAGAUUUCCAGUCAGCGUAUUUACCGAGAGGCCCAGCGAAUAUCUGAGAAUAUUUGGGGAAAGCAAAUGCUGAAUUUCUAAUCACGAGUAUUCACACAGGAAACCUAAUUCGAGAGUUUUGUUCUUCCAGAACCAAGCAUGGCCCCAAGCCUUCCAUGGGGUCCAUCAAUACGGGGGGUUUGCCAUUGCAGGGUCAGGCCCCUCCUGAGCAGUAGGGCCCAUCAGAACAGCUCCAGCUUCACCUAUUGAAUGCUCACCGCUGCAAAGGGGUGAUGGAGAGAUCUGGGUGAACAAUGGACUUUGGGGGUCUUUCUGAAAAAUGUAAAACAAUUUUCAUGUUGAGCCUUUUAGUAAUGUUAUUUUUUAAACAAAAUUAAAGGAAAUUUCAAAACUAAGGCAUUUCAAACAAAAUAAAACUAAAGAUUUAAUCA